rnacentral:rRNA from 1 species
CGGUGUUUAACUGGCGUGAUGCGGGACGUCCUACCGGUGGGCUUAGCCUCGCGAGGGGCGGCCCAACUAAUAUCCCGUCGCGGUGCUCUUUACUGAGUGUCGAGUCGGGCCGGUACGUUUACUUUGAACAAAUUAGAGUGCUUAAAGCAGGCUAUCCUCGCCUGAAUACUGCGUGCAUGGAAUAAUGGAAUAGGACCUCGGUUCUAUUUUGUUGGUUUUCGGAACCCCGAGGUAAUGAUUAAUAGGGACAGAUGGGGGCAUUCGUAUUGCGACGUUAGAGGUGAAAUUCUUGGAUCGUCGCAAGACGGACAGAAGCGAAAGCAUUUGCCAAAAAUGUUUUCAUUAAUCAAGAACGAAAGUUAGAGGUUCGAAGGCGAUCAGGUACCGCCCUAGUUCUAACCAUAAACGAUGCCAGCUAGCGAUCCGCCGAAGUUCCUCCGAUGACUCGGCGGGCAGCUUCCGGGAAACCAAAGCUUUUGGGUUCCGGGGGAAGUAUGGUUGCAAAGCUGAAACUUAAAGGAAUUGACGGAAGGGCACCACCAGGAGUGGAGCCUGCGGCUUAAUUUGACUCAACACGGGAAACCUCACCAGGCCCAGACACCGGAAGGAUUGACAGAUUGAUAGCUCUUUCUUGAUUCGGUGGGUGGUGGUGCAUGGCCGUUCUUAGUUGGUGGAGCGAUUUGUCUGGUUAAUUCCGAUAACGAACGAGACUCUAGCCUGCUAAAUAGGCGUACCUUAUGGUAUCGCGAAGGCCCCCGGCUUCGGCCGGUGGGUUUUUACUACCAACGUACAAACAAAUCUUCUUAGAGGGACGGGCGG